rnacentral:rRNA from 1 species
GACGAACGCUGGCGGCGUGCCUAAUACAUGCAAGUCGAACGGUCUUUUCUAUGGAAGCUUGCUUCCACUGAGAAGAUAGUGGCGAACGGGUGAGUAACACGUGGGUAACCUGCCCAUAAGAGGGGGAUAACAUCCGGAAACGGGUGCUAAUACCGCAUAGUUUUUCUGAUCGCAUGAUCGGGAAAGGAAAGACGGCCUUUGUGCUGUCGCUUAUGGAUGGACCCGCGGCGUAUUAGUUAGUUGGUGAGGUAACGGCUCACCAAGACGAUGAUACGUAGCCGACCUGAGAGGGUGAUCGGCCACAUUGGGACUGAGACACGGCCCAAACUCCUACGGGAGGCAGCAGUAGGGAAUCUUCCGCAAUGGACGAAAGUCUGACGGAGCAACGCCGCGUGAGUGAAGAAGGUUUUCGGAUCGUAAAACUCUGUUGUCAGAGAAGAACAAGUCGGAGAGUAACUGCUCCGGCCUUGACGGUAUCUGACCAGAAAGCCACGGCUAACUACGUGCCAGCCGCCGCGGUAACAC